GUUUUUCAAUAACACAAAAGAUUGUUUUAUUGGUUGUGCACUUAUCGUUUUUAUCAAGAAACCAAGAUUUAUUUAUGUCUUUUACAAAAAGGGCAUACGAAAAGAGACGCAGUAGACGUGUCCAAAAAGAAUAAUAAAAAAUACUAGAAUUUUCAUCAGUACAUAUAGAAAAAAAAUCGAAUGUUGGAACUUCUAAAAGAAAUGAUUUUUUAUCUUGCAAAAAUCUAAAAGAAUAUUUUGACCAUCAUGAGUCAUCGAUUUUGUACAAUGAAUACUCUUAUGACCAAAAGCCUAAUGAGUAUAAGCAUAACCCAACUUUAAAGGAAAGUUUUUCUGCAUGUUUUUCUAACCAAGUAAUUAUGCACUAAACAAGUGGAUUGACAAAUAAUACCAACAAAUUUAUUGUCCAAAAAAAAAACUAUAAUCAUGCACUGAAAAACAACCUUUUGUCAACAAAAGAAUAGCACAAAUUUCCAUUGAUAAAGUGAUAGUCAGUAUCUAACUUGUUUUGUAUUUUUUUUAAAGGUAACUUAAUUACUUUUUUGUAGCAAAAUGUUUUAUAAUUAGAUUCAUUUUUAUGUUGUGAAGAAUACAACUUUCUGCAUCAGAUGAGAUAUAUGUUAAAGAAAGCAUUAAAAAUAAGAAUAACAAAUCAUACCGCUCUUCAUUGCCAGAACCUCCGCCACCUAUUAUGAAUAAGCCCAAUGCUAAAAAGUUGUUAUCAGAUUCAAAGAUUGAAGAAGAUAAUUUUUCUCCACAUUUUAUUGAUGAACACCAAGCAAAGUUCACAUUGUCAAAGAGUUUUAAUAGAUGCAAAAUGUUAUUCUCAACGAGCUUGCAGAAAUAAAAGUUCUUUUAAAAGAAGUUAUAGAAAUUAAGUUUCAGGCUACUGGGGUGAAGUUGCUAGAAUCGGUGGACAAAGUGGAUAAUAAACUAAAAGAUAAAACCGAGUAUACUAAUUUGGUUUAAUCUAAUUAUCUUAAUUUUUAAUAAGUUUGUUUAAAUUUGGUUUAUUAGUUUAGAAUCUAAAUAAAAAGUAUUUGUAAAUGAACUAAAAUAACUAGCUUGUGUUAGACUCAAUAUGUUGUA